rnacentral:rRNA from 1 species
UACGUAGGGUGCGAGCGUUGUCCGGAAUUAUUGGGCGUAAAGAGCUCGUAGGUGGCGUGUCGCGUCUGCCGUGAAAGCCCAUGGCUUAACUGUGGGUCUGCGGUGGAUACGGGCAGGCUGGAGGCUGGUAGGGGCAAGCGGAAUUCCUGGUGUAGCGGUGAAAUGCGCAGAUAUCAGGAGGAACACCAGCGGCGAAGGCGCUGCUCUGGGCCGGUACUGACGCUGAGGAGCGAAAGCGUGGGGAGCGAACAGG